AUGAAGAAUUUCAUCCAGAUUUUUCAAGGAAUAAUUAGGAAAUCGUUCCUCAAGAAAUAUCCAUAUAGUGUAGGCACACUCAAGAGUAGGCAGUUUUCCAAUCAAGUUUCUAGACACGCCUCUAGUGAUAAGAUUAACAGUUCUAACAUUCCUAAUCAUGUAAAUCGACUCAUCAAGGGUAGGAUGCAUAGGAUCAACAUGAGGUGCACAAGGACUAGCAAUGUACUUGUUCAAAUGAUAUUGAUUGAAAAUUACAAGCAUCUCAUUUUUCCACUCAUGAAAAUAUUCUCCAUCAAGUAUAGGCACUCUAUGUCUAAGACUCCCCAAAGUAGACUCAUCCAUCUUCCUCCAAUGGUGAUUAAACCAAGGCAAUGGAGACCAAAGCUCUGA
rnacentral:rRNA from 1 species